AGUAUCUCUCUGUCACCCAGGCUAGAGUGCAGUGGCACGAUCUCGGCUCACGGCAACCUCCGCCUCCCGGGUUCAAGCGAUUCUCCUGCCUCAGCCUUCUGAGUGGCUGGGAUUACAUGCAUGUGCCACCAUGCCUGACUAAUUUUUGAUUUUUUUUUUUUUUUUUUUUUUUUUUAGAAGAGACAGGGUUUCACCGUGUUGGCUGGGCUGGUCUCAAAC
rnacentral:lncRNA from 1 species